AUUGAACGCUGGCGGCAUGCUUUACACAUGCAAGUCGAACGGCAGCGCGGGCUUCGGCCUGGCGGCGAGUGGCGAACGGGUGAGUAAUGCAUCGGAACGUGCCCAGUAGUGGGGGAUAGCCCGGCGAAAGCCGGAUUAAUACCGCAUACGACCUGAGGGUGAAAGCGGGGGACCGAAAGGCCUCGCGCUAUUGGCGCGGCCGAUGUCGGAUUAGCUAGUUGGUGGGGUAAGGGCUUACCAAGGCGACGAUCCGUAGCUGGUCUGAGAGGACGACCAGCCACACUGGGACUGAGACACGGCCAAGACUCCUACGGGAGGAAGCAGUGGGAAAUUUUGGACAAGGGGGCAACCCUGAUCCAGCCAUGCCGCGUGCGGGAAGAAGGCCUUCGGGUUGUAAACCGCUUUUGUUCGGGAAGAAAUCCUCUGGGCUAAUACCCCGGGGGGAUGACGGUACCGGAAGAAUAAGCACCGGCUAACUACGUG
rnacentral:rRNA from 1 species